GGCACGGUGUCGGGGGGAUCGGGCAGGAGGGCCAGGAGCCCGGGCAGGAGGGUCAGGAGCCCGGGCAGGAGGGUCAGGAGCCCGGGCAGUAGGGCCAGGAGCCCGGGCAGGAGGGCCAGGAGCCCGGGCAGGAGGGUCAGGAGCCCGGGCAGGAGGGCCAGGAGCCCGGGCAGGAGGGUCAGGAGCCCGGACAGGGUUGGACGCAGGUGGCUCAGGACGGGACGAAGAGACGAAGGCGGCAGGGCGCUGAUCAGGGACACAGGGAGGAAGGACAGACGCCAGCGAGGGCAGCAGAGCCCAGAGGCUACCUUCAGGUACUGGAAGACUGCUUGAGGUCACCCUGAAGCCUUCUCCAGGCUGAAUAAUCCCAAUUUUCUCAGCCUUUCCACUCAUCUGUAUGUUGUACUUUGGCAAGAAAGGCAGGAAGAGGCAUGUCAGCAGCGAUUUUCCAUAGGAAUUAGUGUUUGAUGUCAUUGGGAGCACUUGUAUUUCCAUUUCUGAUGCAAUAGUAGGUUUUCAGCACCUUCAGCAGUCCCCAUUUGGAGUUCAAGGAAAGCUGAUUUCUGUGAUCUUUAUUCUGGAAAGACACACAAAGUUUAAAUAAAAGAAAAUUGGUUUGUUCCCGAGCCUGAGGACGUCAUGUGGGAAGUACAAAGCAGUUUUUGCUGAUCUACAGUUCAUUAAAAAAUAAAAAUUAAAAACAACCAACUUGCCAUUAGUGGGUCAUCUGAUGCUGGUCCCCAACUUCCAGGGUUUCUGGUGUCCUUUCCAGUGGAGGGCUUGUUCAUGUCUGGUGCUGUGGGCCAAGAAAAGAAAGAACCAGCCUGAAAAACCCCACAUCCUCUUGUAGGACCAGAUCCAUCCUCUGGAUGUGGUUCCUAUUGAGUACACCAGGUGUAACAGCAUUUGAAGAAACCCACAGAGUUUUGGACACCUGUCAGGAAUCAAGUGGCCCCUGGGAGCUGGGCAGGAAGAACCCCUUGUUUCUGGAGAAGGACUCACCUCAAGCUGUUUUAGACCUCCAGAAAUUAAGACUUUUAUUCUCCAUUAUAGACUGAGAAUAGUGAGGCUUUUUUACAGUUACAGAAUGGCCCAUUCAUUAUGGGUUACAUGAUUGUUCCUGGAGAAAGGAUGUUAUGUAUGCAAGUUGCCCAGGCUUUUAUUUUUUUACCCUUUGGGUUUGAAGCACAAGUUUCCACACCUCUGGGAUGGUGUUUGCCAUACAAUAGAACUUCUUGAAGGAGAAAAGAGAAGAAACUCCACUUUUUCUGAGAGAGGAUUUGGAAUUCUCUGGCCCGUCCACAUCCUUUGCCUUGCAAAUGAUUGAUGUCACUGUGGUUUCAUGCAGUGACAUCAUCACUUACAGAGGAAAAUGGUUUCAGUCUAAAGGAACACUGCCCAAAAUGACCAGGAUGUAAAUAACACCCUGUUUGUCAUCAAGCCUGCUGGGAAAAGGUCACUUUAUGCAAAGAUUUACUGUAAAUUGGUAGAGAGCAGGAUGGGUUUGGAUUUACAGUUGGAAAGCUCCACAAGGCUUGGGAAAGCCAAGGUGGGAAAUCACCCUUGGGGUGCACAAGUGAGGAGUGGCACAGAACACAAUUCCUCCCGAUCAGGGAGGUUUAUGUAAAAGCAAGGUUUCUUGAGAAAAAAAAGGGUAUUAUGUUCUCAUUUUCUUCAGCAGUGAAAUCACUGUUAUGAAGAUUGACCAAAAAAGACUGCUGUGUUUUGGGGUGGGUUUUUUUGCACCAGUGACAAGAUAAUUGCCUUGAGAUUCCUGGUCGUUUUUAUGAGAACUUGUAAUUGCAGGUGACCUGUCACUGUGCAAAACUGCACAGAAAAAAACUAGACCUGCACUCAGAAUAGAUGGAUAGAUUGCCUGUAUAAAAUGGUUUUAAUUCAGUCACUCUUCAAACUCUCCUCUCACCCAAGUACCUCUGAAUUUAUCAGAUUUUGUGUAACUGUGGUGAGUAGAACAAGGUGAAAAUCACCUUCACCAGUAUUUAUAAAUUUGCCCCUUAAUAGAUUUUUGUAGUAAAUUGAGGAUUUGGCUCAUUGGAAAUACUAAAACCAGGGAAUAUCCAGCUCAUUAGAGACACUCAGCUUUUAUAAGACCAGAGUGCUCUUACACACAGUUCAGAAGUCACUGCCAAAUUCAGUUUAAAAUAUAAGGAAUAUAUUAGUUCUCAAAACAUUAAUGAUCCCAAUGGAUUUAGGAAUAUCUGGGAAAUACCCUCUAUUAAAAGGGAUUAAGGCCAGAAAAACUGAAUGUGGGAAGCAAUAUUUAAUCCAAAAUGCACUUGAGUUAAAUACAAUGUACAUCAUCUUCAGUAGCUGUGCUAUCAGCACUAAGGCAGAGUGAGAUUCAACUGCUUAAUUAGUAUAAUACAGGAAGAAAAGUUAAUUGUUACACAAAUUUAACCCUCAAAUUAUAAAAUUACAGAAGUCCACAGCAGUUGUUCAAUGACCACCACUAUUCCAAUUUUGUUGGUGUUUGCUACCAGACUUUCUUGUGAUUCUUUUAAAUCUGCAUGGCACUUUAGGUCACCCUUUCUAGGAACUGUUUUCUAAGGAUUCAGCUGGAAUGCAAACUUCUUCUGCUGCAGAAUGCCAACCCCAAAACCAGUGGGAAAUCAGGAACCCAGUGUAGACUCUCUGUGAAACACUUCAGUGAUAUUUCCUAUGUAACAAAUCUUUGCUCUUCAUCCGAUGUGUUCAGGUUUUCCUGUGAAAAUUCACUUUUACUUAAAAAAGUCAAGCUCUUUUCCUCGAUAAAUUUUCCACAGAUUUCCCAGAAGAUUCUGAAUGGGAAAGGACCCACAAGGAUUAUUAAAUGCAACUUUUUCAUGGAUGUGCCAUAAGAGGAUGGAGCCCAUGACCUUGGUGUUAUUAGCACCAUGCUCUGACCAGCUGCGCUAAUCCCAGAUUUUCCCCGAGGUUUGUGGUUCUCAGGAAUAUUUUGGUCAGCCAAGACUUUCUUUGCUGGAAAAGACUUUCUGAUGGAAAGAGCUGUGCAUUGAAGAAACUCAGAUGCUUUUUUUUUUCAGCAAAGUAAAACUCAGUAAAGUAUUUUGGUUUAAUAAUGACAUGAGUUUUCUAUAUUUUAUAUUCAUCUGUAACACUUAGACAAAACAGAACAUAUUUUCAUGCUUUCAGUUUUCAUUAAAUCACUUCUUUGGCCUAGCAUAGCUUUAAAGCAUAACUUUAAGGUUUUCCAGCUUCCAUGGAUGAGAGAUCAUUACAAAUUCUUUUCCAUUGAUUUGAAAAAAAAAUUGUUAAUAAAAAAUUAAUAUUUUUAAAAUCUUAA